AGAAUCAACGCUGGCGGCGUGCCUAACACAUGCAAGUCGAACGCGAAAGUCCCGCAAGGGAUGAGUAGAGUGGCAAACGGGUGAGUAACACGUGGGUGACCUGCCUUCGAGCGGGGGAUAACGUCCCGAAAGGGACGCUAAUACCGCAUGACAUCCUGCCUUUGAAGAGGUGGAGAUCAAAGCUGGGGAUCGCAAGACCUGGCACUUGAAGAGGGGCCCGCGUCUGAUUAGCUAGUUGGUGGGGUAACGGCUCACCGAAGGCAACGAUCA
rnacentral:rRNA from 1 species